UGAGAAAGCAAGAUGCUAAUGGUGAUGGUUUUCUGAGCUAUGAAGAAUUUAAACUUUCUUAACCCAUUAAAACUCCUGUAAGGAUCGUCAAAGGACAGUUCCAGUACUACGACAAACUGGAUGGCGCAAGCGAUGGCAGAUAUUCUUUUUCGGGUGCAGAUCGAAUGAUAAAUAUCUUGGACACUAAUAAGGACGGCGGAGUCACAGUUGACGAAUUUGUGCAGAACAUUCCGCAUGUUCUAGACGAUAUGACUAAGGAGAUAGAUGCCUUAGUUGUGGUUGGCUAAGCCAUUAGUUGAAAGAGAUUGCAACUAGCGGUUGAUUUCGAGGUAUUGUGUCUUUUGCUUUUAAUGACACAGUAAAGCGAAUUCUGACACUAUGUCAAUGAUGACAAUUUUUCCACCCAUUGACACUAUAUACACAAAGCGUGGAACACCAGACCGACCACUUUACCUGUUGUCAGUAGAGAGAAUAAUCUUUACUUACUUUUUAAGUUAGUAAAAGUUUUCCCUUAAGGUGUGUCCUUUCAAUUUAAAUAAGAUGUUAUUUUUUUCUGUACAGACAGGUGUACGAUGCUGUUCUUAACUUGGACCAUCAUUCCAUCUUGCCGACAU